CGCUGCCAUCGAGGAGCAUUUACUCAGUGAGUGGAAGAGGUUUGUUUGAAAGACACCAGCGCCCAGGGAAGCGAGGGAACAGCAGGCUCCUUCUAGCAACGCAUCGAGAUGCAAAUACUUGAAGGACCAGGAUGAUGUUGUAUUUCCUCGGUGCAAAGCCAAGUCUGACCAGUUACUUCUAAUAAUCAGCAGAAUGUGACCAGCUCUGCCAAGGUGGCAAGUGGAUGACAGUCUCAAAAUGUCCUUGAAUGGAUUGACUUGCUUGGCCUGAAGGCAAUGAAGAGUUCACAAAAGGGUAGGAGUCAUGUACAGAGCAGACCCGGAAUAACCAACUAGUUCACUAAUGCCCUUUCGAGAAGCAAAUCUGCCAUCAAUACUUGGUCUGGCCUGCACGUGACUCGAGAUGCACCGCAAUGUGGUUGACUCUUCACUGCCCUCUGUGCAAUUAGGCAUGGGCAAUGAGUGCCGUCCCCAGCCAGCACCACUCACAGCCCAAGAAAAUCUGAAGAGAUAAUGGGAUGGAAUAUCAAGGUGGCAGGUUAGUCGUCCGUUUUAAUGCAACACAAAAAAUAAUGCGGAUAAAAUGAAGAUUGGCCGGGUGAUUGACAGUGAGGAGAAGGUGUCAGUUUACAGGACAAUUGGUCAGAUGGGGUUGAACCCUGAUAAAUGGGAGGUGAUGCACUUUGGCAGAAGGAAGACAAGGAAGUACUGAAUGAAAGGCAGGGCACUACAAAGCUCAGAGGAACAGAAGGAUGUGAGGGUGUUUGUACACAGAUCCCUGAAGGUGGCAGGACAUGUUGAUAGGGCAGUUAAGAAGGCACAUGGGACACUUGCCUUUAUCAGUCAAGGUACAGAUUGUGAGAGCAAAGAGGUGAUGUUGGAGCUGGACAGGACUUUGGUGAGACUUCAGCUGGAGCACUGUGUGCAGUUCCAGUCUCCAGACUAUAGGAAGGAUGUGAUUGCACUGGAGGGGGUGCCGAGGAAAUUCACUAAAAUGUUGCCUGGGAUGGAGAAUUUAAACAAUGAAGAGAGGUUGGAUAGGCUCGAGAUGUUUGGAGUAGAGAAGGCUGAGGAUAGGCCUGACAGAGGUAGUGUAAGGUUAUGAGGGGCAUUUACAGGAGGGAUAGGAAGCUGCUGGUGCCCUUGGUUGAAGGGUCAAUAAUAAAUGUGGGUAAGGGCAGGAGGUUUCGGGGGAGAUUUGAGAAUUGCUUCACCCAGAGAAUGAUGGGAGUCUGAAAAGCAUGACUUUGGAGGAUAUUUCAGGUGAGACACUGAAAUAAACUCUACAAUGUUCUUGGUCAACCAACUGUUAUGUCAUAGUAUUUAAGACUGUUAUCCUUGGUGGGGGGGAAGUAGGAUUAGUUUAGCUAGGUUCGUGCAGAUUGAUGGGCUGAAGAGUCUCUUCUGUACCAUCUAUAACUACAGCUCUAUGACUCAUUCGCUUGAGUAAAGGGGAGAGAAGCUAAACUAACUUGAAAGUGAAAGUAGGUGAUUGAUUCUGCUCAACAGGAUCUCGCUCUCUGUGUCAUAACAGUGAGCACACGGUGGGAGAUGGUGAAGCUGGUUUUCCACUGCUUCUAUCAUCACCUGAGCCCUCAGCAAUGUUUGGGAUGUGACAGGGAGUACAACAUGACCCUGGAAAGGACUUGGCCAAAUAUCAGAAGAGGCCCAGUUUAGAAUGAGGCCCAGUGGAGGAUGUGGGCCAGUAUGGGACGUAACCCAGUGCACAACAUGUCCCAGUGUAGGAUCUUCUUUUAACUUAGCAUGUGGCUCAGUGUAGGAAGUUUCUUAGUGUAGGAUGUGUCUCAGUUUAACAUGAGGCCCAGGUUAGAAAAUUUCCAAAUUUCAAAUGUUUCGCAGUGUGGAUGUGGCCCAAUUUAUGAUGUGGCAACACAGUGUGGAGAUGGAGGAACACCACAGGCCAGGCAGCAUCAGAGGAGCAGAAAAGUUGACUUUUUGGGUUGGGACCCUUCUUCAGAAAUUGGGCAGGUUUAGGGAGCUGGAAAUAAAUAAAGAUAGAAGGGAUGGGAUUUGGGAAAGGUAAGAGGGAUGGUGAUGGUUUGAUGCAGGUCGGGAGU